rnacentral:rRNA from 1 species
UACGGAGGGUGCAAGCGUUAUCCGGAAUUACUGGGUUUAAAGGGUGCGUAGGUGGCGCUGUAAGUCAGUGGUGAAAGGUUCCGGCUUAACCGGAGAAUGGCCUUUGAUACUGCAGUGCUAGGAUUGGGUUGAGGUUGGCGGAAUGUGACAUGUAGCGGUGAAAUGCAUAGAUAUGUCAUAGAACACCGAUUGCGAAGGCAGCUGACUGGACCUUGAUUGACACUGAGGCACGAAAGCGUGGGGAGCGAACAGG